GUCGGACUCGGGGAUGGUAUUUCCCCGGGUGGCUUCUCCGGGCGCCUAUCCCCCGGUCACAA
rnacentral:ncRNA from 1 species